rnacentral:rRNA from 1 species
GUGGGCAACCUGCCUCAUAGAGGGGAAUAGCCUUUCGAAAGGAAGAUUAAUACCGCAUAAGAUUGUAGCUUCGCAUGAAGUAGCAAUUAAAGGAGCAAUCCGCUAUGAGAUGGGCCCGCGGCGCAUUAGCUAGUUGGUGAGGUAACGGCUCACCAAGGCGACGAUGCGUAGCCGACCUGAGAGGGUGAUCGGCCACAUUGGGACUGAGACACGGCCCAGACUCCUACGGGAGGCAGCAUG